ensembl:lncRNA
CGAGCUUAACUUUCCUGCAUUUCAUAGUGGAUUACACUUCCCUAAAUUUUUCAGACAGUAUUUCUUUUUCUAGCUCCUCUUGACAUUCAGAGACCUCAAGGAUAUAUAUAUAUAUAUAUAUACACACACACACAUAUAUAUAUAUAUAUAUAUGUGUGUGUAUAUACAUAUGUAUAUAUAAAAUAUUAUAUGUAUCUAUAAUCAAGGAUCUAUGUAAUAUAGCUAUAUCCACACAUUCAUACUCAUUGCCUCUCUAAACUCUCCCCCCAAAAUCACGAUUGAUCCCCUCUAUGUGGAUGUCUCCUACAUCUCUCUAAGCGCACACACUGAGAGCAAUCUCUAACAACUUUUAGUACCACAAAUGAAAUAUACCAUAUUUAAAACACCUUUCAAACAUGGUUUUCAUUUCCUGGAGGUUCUAUUUCCACAAUGAGGCUACCAAAGUUCAAGAACCUCAUCCACCACUGCCUACUCUUUCCAACUUCAUUCUCAAUUCAGUUCAGUCGCGUCCAACUUUGUUUCCCAGCAUCAGGGUCUUUUCCCGUGAGUCAGUUCUCUGCGUCAGGUGGCCAAAGUAUUGGAGUUUUGGCUUCAGCAUCAGUCCUUUCAAUGAAUAUUCAGGACUGAUUUCCUUUAGGAUUGACUGGUUUGACCUCAUUGCUUCAUUCUCAAGCCUUUUCAACCAAUAGAUAACUUUUAAAAUCCCCAGAAUAUCUUUUAUGGUUUCCCACCUAUUUCUAUUGCUACUCCACUUGGUCAAGCCUCUACUAUCAUUUUGGGUGAAUUAUUGUGCUGGCCUUCCCCACUGUGGACCCCUUAUUAUACACGCUAACUAUCCUUUAAACUCCAGACUGAUGAUGUCUCCUGGUCAGAACCUUUCAGUAACUCUUUAUUUUCUACACACUAGGUUUGUCAGUCUGGCACUUAAAAUGCUCCAUGUCCUGGUUCUACAAUAUCUUUUUCAUCUUUCACCUUUACUUUUCUCACUUUCCAGCCAGAUUGUAUUAGUUAGUAUGUCUUGUGGUUACCAAAUCCAUUCUUCUGCUUAAGCUUUUCCUUCUGCUUAGAUACUAGAAAGACAUUUUAAUAUGUCCAAAUCCUACUUAAGGUCUUAGCUCAAAU